GAUGAACGCUGGCGGCGUGCCUAAUACAUGCAAGUCGAGCGAACGGACGAGAAGCUUGCUUCUCUGAUGUUAGCGGCGGACGGGUGAGUAACACGUGGAUAACCUACCUAUAAGACUGGGAUAACUUCGGGAAACCGUAGCUAGUACCGGAUAAUAUUUUGAACCGCAUGGUUCAAAAGUGAAAGACGGUCUUGCUGUCACUUAUAGAUGGAUCCGCGCUGCAUUAGCUAGUUGGUAAGGUAACGGCUUACCAAGGCAACGAUGCAUAGCCGACCUGAGAGGGUGAUCGGCCACACUGGAACUGAGACACGGUCCAGACUCCUACGGGAGGCAGCAGUAGGGAAUCUUCCGCAAUGGGCGAAAGCCUGACGGAGCAACGCCGCGUGAGUGAUGAAGGUCUUCUGAUCGUAAAACUCUGUUAUUAGGGAAGAACAUAUGUGUAAGUAACUGUGCACAUCUUGACGGUACCUAAUCAGAAAGCCACGGCUAACUACGUG
rnacentral:rRNA from 1 species